AAGGCUUUCUCUUUCUUGAGAUUUUUGCUUGCACUUAUUCCAAUGUGUUUGGCGACAUUCUUAAUUGAAGCCGAUAUCUGUGUUCCCCUCGCUAUCCAUUAGUGCAAUUUUGAUGCAGCAUUUGGACGUCGGGGAACUAAAUUG
rfam:Glycine soja cultivar W05 scaffold1791_30, whole genome shotgun sequence.